UACGGGGGGGGGCAAGCGUUGUUCGGAAUUACUGGGCGUAAAGGGCUCGUAGGCGGCCUUCUAAGUCGAACGUGAAAUCCCCGGGCUCAACCCGGGAACUGCGUCCGAUACUGGAUGGCUUGAGUUUGGGAGAGGGAUGCGGAAUUCCAGGUGUAGCGGUGAAAUGCGUAGAUAUCUGGAGGAACACCGGUGGCGAAGGCGACAUCCUGGACCAACACUGACGCUGAGUGAGCGAAAGCCAGGGGAGCAAACGGG
rnacentral:rRNA from 1 species